UCGAGUCUCAUUGGGUCGGGUCGGUCUUCUAAGUUGGCGGGGCCCUGCGGGACCGGUCUGCUUGACCCGACCGCGCUCGCAUUGGAGAGCCGAGGCUCGAUCGGUCUGCCGGGCUGCAUAACCCCGGCCCCGCAGCAGCGGCGUCCCUCGCGCGCCGCCGCGUUUCCCGCGCUCUCGGCCCGUACUUCCCGGCGCGGCCUACAAGGCCCCGCGCGGCCCCGCCUCCGGGUCCCGCUUGGUCUCCGGCUGCGAGAGGGAAGGCGGAGGUUAUCCGCCGAGGGACAAGCGGCGCGGACCGAGGCAAAAGAAGCAUUACAGAAUUUACUGUUAACCUGUGUCCCUAAAACUGCUCUUAAAGAAAAGGGGUGUUUUCACCUGAAUGAUUCAGACUGUGUGGCCGCUUCAGGGAUAAUUGGAACUCUCCUGUGUGGAUAUGGUUUUAAUGUCCAGAUGCUUAGCCUCGUCACAAAUAUUCCCUUAAAUAUGGGGUUCCUGAGCAGAAGGGAAAAUGAGCUUAAACAUGAGGCUUGGAGGAGAAAGAAGGGCUGGGGAGAAAUAUGGUUAUUCAGUCAGUCAGUUCAGUCACUCAGUCGUGUCCAACUCUUUGUGACCCCAUGGACUGCAGCACACCAGGCUUUCCUGUCCAUCACCAACUCUUGGAGCUUGCUCAAACUCAUGUCCAUCGAGUUGCUGAUGCUAUCAUUUUAUUGGUUAUUACAAGAUAUUGAAUACAGUUCCCUGUGCCAUGCAGUAAAUCCUUAUUUUUUAAUCUAUUUUAUAUAUAGUUGUGUGUAUCUGCUAAUCCCAAAUUCCUAA
rnacentral:lncRNA from 1 species